CCAACACUGGGUCAUAAAAGACAUUGCAGCUUCUGGCUUGUUCUCUUGCAUCACUUGCCCAAGGGAAAGCUGUCUGCCACACCAGAGGACACCCACAGCCCUAUGAAGAGGCCCACAUGGAGAGGAGCUGAAACUUCCCACCAACAGCCCAUGCCAACUGGCCAGCUGUAUGAGUGAGCCACCUGGGAAAUCAGAGCCCCCAGCCCCAGUCAAGCCUUCAGAUGACUGCAGCCCAGCUAACACCUGACUGUAACCAUAUAAGAGACCUCGAGACAGGAUUAUCCAACCAAGUUGCUCUGAAAUCCUGACCCAGAGAAAUCAGGAGAGAAAUAGAGUUGAGCAAGAGCUUUUCCUUCUGACACUCCUAUUCCCAAGAGGCCUGGAAAAAGCUCCUGUCAAGCUGCUUGUUGGCUGCUGCAAACUCACCUGCACCAGAUCCUGAAGGUCCAGCAGGGGGAGGGGGGCGGCUGAGCUCCGGUCACAGCUGUCGGUCAUGAAGAGAAACCAGCAAAUCACUACUAGCACCCAGCCAUGUUGUUUGCACUAAUGAUCUUAGAACAAAUGCAUUAUGCAACUGCUUGGCCCAAAUGAGAGAAAUAGAUCCAAAAUGAUCAUUUGUGCCUCCCUGAGUGUUUUUGAGACCCCCUUUAUGAAGCACCCAUGCUAUAAUGCACAAUGAUGUAGCUCCCAGCCUCGGCUACAGCUCAGUAGCAGCUGUUUAUGCUGCCAAGUCAAGUAAAAUUAAUCUGCUGCCAAGGCAAUUACAAAAGAAUCAUAGCAAACCUAAUAUUGGGGCACAGAGUGCAGACCCCUCUUUUCCCUUUGUUUACCCCAAAUGAGAGUUCCAGAACUUUGACAGACUGACCUCUCCCUUCUUCUCUCCCAUUCUCCACCCUGCCUCUCCCACUCUCCUCUUUAAGGAUUCUCAGUUUAUAAUGUCUUUGUCAGGUUCUCUCCCUCCUGUAGCAUUUGGCUAUUGGCUUCAUUUCAUCUAGAUCACAAACAGAACUUUGGCAAAUAGAGACGACAGGGAAACAGUGUGAUGGAGACGAGUAGGCAAGUAGAAAACAGAAGGUUCUUUGGGAAGUCAAACAUAUGUUUCAGUAGCCUGUGAACCAGCUCUUGUUCCUUAUCGUGGACAUGAUCCCUGGAAAUUGUAAACAAUAUAAAGAAAACUGACCCGAUGCGGACAUAGCCCCACCUGGAAGUUCACAGGUGUAUUCCCAUGGUAAUCUUCAACAGUUUCUGUUCAGCUACCCGCAUCUCCUCCUCUGUCUCCUGGAACGGGAUUUUUCUUUGUUCCCAGUUCUUGAAAUGGUAAUGAAGAUUUUCCUUGUCAUCUCUGAAACCUGCGAUGUUGUCAUGGGAGACAAAUGCAUCAGUGUUAGUAAUCCUUAGAUAAAAGGUGCUUUACAGUUA